AAAAUGCGAUAAGUGACAUGAAUUGCAGAAUCCUGUGAAUCGUCGAAAUUUCGAACGCACUGCGCUUGGGGGAAACCUCAGGCACGUCUGACCGAGUGACGUCAAUAUCACUUGCAAAACCUAACCAAAAGGAUCAUAUGGGGGGAAAUAUUUCUCUCGGGCCUUUUUUAACCAGGUGGAGCAGAAUUUGCAGGUCCUGUGGUUGUUUUAAACCACUCCUGUAUAAAAUAUUACCGCAUUCUCCCAUUGUGUUAAUGGGGCAACGUUAUGGGGUUUCUGCCGCGAAUAUUACGUUUUU
rnacentral:misc_RNA from 1 species